rnacentral:misc_RNA from 1 species
AACGCACCUUGCGCCUCUUGGUAUUCCGAGAGGCAUGCCUGUUUGAGUGUCUUAUAAAAUCAAUCCCCUCGGGUUUCUUGUGAACCUGGGGUGGACUUGGAGUUGGGCGUCUGCCGGUCACACGGCUCGCCUUAAAGACGUUAGUGGGACAGGUUGCCUACGGCUUGACGUAAUAAGUUUCGUCAGACCCGGUGACUCUGGCCCGCUCAGAACCCGCCCGCGAGGGCAACACCUUUAUGCUAGACCUCAAAUCAGGUAGGACUACCCGCUGAACUUAA